AAGACAGCAAGUGAAAGAGUUGAUCUUCAUAUUUAAAAUAUAUUUUGUUUUAAAUUACAUCAUCUGCCAAAAGUUAGGAUGCAGAAGUGCAGCCCCACGCAGCUUGCACCCAAGUGGAAGGUUUGAACCUCACUAAAAGACCACAAGAAGUUACCAGAAUGAUUCCCCUAAAAACUCUGCUGGUUCAGUGCCCUUUUACAGACAGAAGAGCAUUGAGCACUGGGCGAGGUGCUUGCUGUAAUGGCACAGUUAAAGAGCGAAAGCUGGAACAAUUCUCUUUGGAAAGAUACUUGAAGAGGUCAGUCUCCCUGCUGCAGAAGUGAUGUUUUGAUGGACAGAAAAAAGAAAAGAGUUUGGUGUUUGAAUUCCAACAGGGCAAAAGUACAGUAAGAAGAUAUUAUUUUCUCUCUGUCUGCUGCAGUUGAAGAGCAGCACCGAAAUGGAAACACAGGCACCUUCUCUUGCAGCAGGCUGGGCACUGAGAGCUCGACCUGGAGGGAGCCACUGGAAUGCUGAGAUAAUUGAAAGACCCGACGUGCUUGACAUGAAAUAUUUUGAGGCAUUUUUUAAGGUAUUAUGUUAGUGAUGGAGCUGCCGUGACAUUUUCAUACUAGAUGUACUAUUUCAACUCUUCCUAAUUUCCCUCUAAAAAUGCCCUUUGAAGAUAAUUUCUUUCUGUGUGGAUGAGGGUAAGUACUUAAAGGUGCUAAACUGACAGCACUCAGAGUCCAUUGAAUGGCUGUAGCCAUGUCAGCGCAGUGCCCAGCUCCCAGGGGUGUGCCACCAAUACCUUGUUUCUUCAACCAAAAAGGCAACUGAACUUUUCAGCACCCUUGGUUAUCUGCUGAGAUUGGCAAAGGCCUUGCAGAAAUAAGGGGAUCGGACAUUCUCUCUGAAGGCUUCUUUCAUUUGGAACAUGAAUUCUCCCUUCUUUUUCCCUUAUGUGAAAUACCUGCCUCUACUAAAGGAGGUGAGCAUCUACUGAGGGCAACUUCUCUUCCAACAGAUGUUUUAAUGGCCAGAAAAUUCCAAAAAAUGAUGUUCAAAAGAUAAACUGGUAGUUCUAGUUAAUUUCUGUGCUGUGUGUUUUAUUUACUUCUAAUUACUAAAUUUGGAGGAUUUGUUGCUAAGCCCUAUGUUUGUAGUGCCCAGAGCUUAGGGAAACAGUGAAUAAAUUUUAGGUAUUUCAUAGUUAUUUCCAUUUUA